AAGGAUUUGAAGUUGGUGGCCUAGCUUUUCCUAGGCCAUCAACUUUAAAUC
rnacentral:sRNA from 1 species